CAGCAGCCGCGGUAAUACCGGCGGCCCGAGUGGCGGUCACUAUUAUUGGGCUUAAAGCGUCCGUAGCCGGGUUGGGAAGUCCUCCGGGAAAUCUGGCCGCUUAACGGUCAGAAUGCCGGAGGAUACUCCCAGCCUAGGGAGCGGGAGAGGCCGAGGGUAUUCCCGGGGGAGGGGUGAAAUCCUGUAAUCCCGGGAGGACCACCUGUGGCGAAGGCGCUCGGCUGGAACGGGUCCGACGGGGAGGGACGAAGGCCAGGGGAGCGAACCGGAUUAGAUACCCGGGUAGUCCUGGCUGUAAACGAUGCGGACUAGGUGUCGGGCAAGCUAAGGGCUUGUCCGGUGCCGCAGGGAAGCCGUUAAGUCCGCCGCCUGGGGAGUACGGCCGCAAGGCUGAAACUUAAAGGAAUUGGCGGG
rnacentral:rRNA from 1 species